rnacentral:rRNA from 1 species
AACGAACGCUGGCGGCAGGCUUAACACAUGCAAGUCGAACGCCCCGCAAGGGGAGUGGCAGACGGGUGAGUAACGCGUGGGAAUCUACCUAGUUCUACGGAACAACUGAGGGAAACUUCAGCUAAUACCGUAUACGCCCUAAGGGGGAAAGAUUUACCGGAAUUAGAUGAGCCCGCGUUGGAUUAGCUAGUUGGUGGGGUAAUGGCCUACCAAGGCGACGAUCUAUAGCUGGUCUGAGAGGAUGAUCAGCCACACUGGGACUGAGACACGGCCCAGACUCCUACGGGAGGCAGCAGUGGGGAAUAUUGGACAAUGGGCGCAAGCCUGAUCCAGCCAUGCCGCGUGAGUGAUGAAGGCCUUAGGGUUGUAAAGCUCUUUCAGUGGGGACGAUAAUGACGGUACCCACAGAAGAAGCCCCGGCUAACUUCGUGCCAGCCGCCGCUGUAAAAC